CCGGAGGUAGGGUCCAGCGGCU
rnacentral:snRNA from 1 species